UACGGAGGGUGCAAGCGUUGUCCGGAUUUAUUGGGUUUAAAGGGUGCGUAGGUGGUUGUCUAAGUCUGGUUUGAAAGCAAGCGGCUUAACCGUUUGAUGUGGCUGGAAACUGGAGAACUCGAAUGCGUUGGCGGUAGCCGGAACGGGUCAUGUAGCGGUGAAAUGCAUAGAUAUGACCCAGAACACCGAUUGCGAAGGCAGGCUACUACGACGGGAUUGACACUGAGGCACGAGAGCAUGGGUAGCGAACAGG
rnacentral:rRNA from 1 species